CCCUUAGAUGUCCUGGGCUGCACGCGCGCUACACUGGAAGUUACGGAUUGAGAUACUACCUUGUCCGAAAUGGUCCGGGUAAUCACCUAAAAGCUUGUCAUAAUUGGAAUGGAUUAUUGUAACUAGUAAUCCUGAACGAGGAAUUCCUAGUAAGUCCCAGUCAACAGCUGAUACUGAUUACGUCCCUGCCCUUUGUACACACCGCCCGUCGCUACUACUGAUUGGACGUUUAAGCAAGAUUUUUAAACACUGACAGUGUGUAGUUCACGCUAUACUACAGUGAGAAGAAGAAGAUCGAGCUUACUUGUCUAGAGGAAGUAAAAGUCGUAACA
rnacentral:rRNA from 1 species